UCAGAUUGAACGCUGGCGGCAGGCUUAACACAUGCAAGUCGAGGGGAAACGGCAUUGAGUGCUUGCACUCUUUGGACGUCGACCGGCGCACGGGUGAGUAACGCGUAUCCAACCUUCCCAUUACUGUGGGAUAACCUGCCGAAAGGCAGACUAAUACCGCAUAGUCUUCGAUGACGGCAUCAGAUUUGAAGUAAAGAUUUAUCGGUAAUGGAUGGGGAUGCGUCUGAUUAGCUUGUUGGCGGGGUAACGGCCCACCAAGGCAACGAUCAGUAGGGGUUCUGAGAGGAAGGUCCCCCACAUUGGAACUGAGACACGGUCCAAACUCCUACGGGAGGCAGCAGUGAGGAAUAUUGGUCAAUGGACGGAAGUCUGAACCAGCCAAGUAGCGUGCAGGAUGACGGCCCUAUGGGUUGUAAACUGCUUUUGUAUGGGGAUAAAGUUAGGGACGUGUCCCUAUUUGCAGGUACCAUACGAAUAAGGACCGGCUAAUUCCGUGCCAGCAGCCGCGGUAAUA
rnacentral:rRNA from 15 species